AUUGAACGCUGUCGGCAGGCCUAACACAUGCAAGUCGAACGAGUGGCGGACGGGUGAGUAAUGUCUGGGAAACUGCCUGAUGGAGGGGGAUAACUACUGGAAACUGUAGCUAAUACUGCAUACCAUCAGAUGUGCCCACAUGGGAUUAGCUAGGUGGUGGGGUAACGGCUCACCAAGGCGACGAUCCCUAGCUGGUCUGAUAGGAUGACCAGCCACACUGUAACUGAGCCACGGGCCAGACUCCUACGGGAGGCAGCAGUGGGGAAUAUUGCACAAUGGGCGAAAGCCUGAUGCAGCCAUGCCGCGUGUAUGAAGAAGGCCGUCGGGUUGUAAAGUACUGUCAGCGGAGAGGCGUUAGCCACAGAAGAAGCACGGGCUAACUCCGUGCCAGCAGCCGCGGUAAUUC
rnacentral:rRNA from 1 species